rnacentral:misc_RNA from 1 species
UGUGGGAGCGAGCUUGCUCGCGAAGACGGUGUGUCAGUUUACGGUGAUGUUGGAUGUGCCGGUCUCAUCGCGAGCAAGCUCGCUCCCACA